GAUGAACGCUGGCGGCGUGCCUAAUACAUGCAAGUCGAGCGAACGGACGAGAAGCUUGCUUCUCUGAUGUUAGCGGCGGACGGGUGAGUAACACGUGGAUAACCUACCUAUAAGACUGGGAUAACUUCGGGAAACCGGAGCUAAUACCGGAUAAUAUUUUGAACCGCAUGGUUCAAAAGUGAAAGACGGUCUUGCUGUCACUUAUAGAUGGAUCCGCGCUGCAUUAGCUAGUUGGUAAGGUAACGGCUUACCAAGGCAACGAUGCAUAGCCGACCUGAGAGGGUGAUCGGCCACACUGGAACUGAGACACGGUCCAGACUCCUACGGGAGGCAGCAGUAGGGAAUCUUCCGCAAUGGGCGAAAGCCUGACGGAGCAACGCCGCGUGAGUGAUGAAGGUCUUCGGAUCGUAAAACUCUGUUAUUAGGGAAGAACAUAUGUGUAAGUAACUGUGCACAUCUUGACGGUACCUAAUCAGAAAGCCACGGCUAACUACGUGCCAGCAGCCGCGGUAAUACGUAGGUGGCAAGCGUUAUCCGGAAUUAUUGGGCGUAAAGCGCGCGUANGCGGUUUUUUAAGUCUGAUGUGAAAGCCCACGGCUCAACCGUGGAGGGUCAUUGGAAACUGGAAAACUUGAGUGCAGAAGAGGAAAGUGGAAUUCCAUGUGUAGCGGUGAAAUGCGCAGAGAUAUGGAGGAACACCAGUGGCGAAGGCGACUUUCUGGUCUGUAACUGACGCUGAUGUGCGAAAGCGUGGGGAUCAAACAGGAUUAGAUACCCUGGUAGUCCACGCCGUAAACGAUGAGUGCUAAGUGUUAGGGGGUUUCCGCCCCUUAGUGCUGCAGCUAACGCAUUAAGCACUCCGCCUGGGGAGUACGACCGCAAGGUUGAAACUCAAAGGAAUUGACGGGGACCCGCACAAGCGGUGGAGCAUGUGGUUUAAUUCGAAGCAACGCGAAGAACCUUACCAAAUCUUGACAUCCUUUGACAACUCUAGAGAUAGAGCUUUCCCCUUCGGGGGACAAAGUGACAGGUGGUGCAUGGUUGUCGUCAGCUCGUGUCGUGAGAUGUUGGGUUAAGUCCCGCAACGAGCGCAACCCUUAAGCUUAGUUGCCAUCAUUAAGUUGGGCACUCUAAGUUGACUGCCGGUGACAAACCGGAGGAAGGUGGGGAUGACGUCAAAUCAUCAUGCCCCUUAUGAUUUGGGCUACACACGUGCUACAAUGGACAAUACAAAGGGCAGCGAAACCGCGAGGUCAAGCAAAUCCCAUAAAGUUGUUCUCAGUUCGGAUUGUAGUCUGCAACUCGACUACAUGAAGCUGGAAUCGCUAGUAAUCGUAGAUCAGCAUGCUACGGUGAAUACGUUCCCGGGUCU
rnacentral:rRNA from 1 species